rnacentral:rRNA from 1 species
UCGCACCGACCGAUUGAAUGGUCCGGUGAGAGCUCGGGAGUGAAGGAACAAUCCUUUAUUGGAUUUUCCUGCAUGAACUUGUUCAAACCUUAUCAUUUAGAGGAUGUGA